rnacentral:rRNA from 1 species
GGGUGCGAUCAUUCCAGCACUAAUGCACCGGAUCCCAUCAGAACUCCGAAGUUAAGCGUGCUUGGACGAUGUAUAAUUGUUUUACACAUA